rnacentral:rRNA from 1 species
UACGAGGGGGGCGAGCGUUGUUCGGAAUUAUUGGGCGUAAAGGGCGCGUAGGCGGUCGGAUAAGUCUUGUGUGAAAUCUUCGGGCUCAACUCGAAGUCUGCACAGGAAACUAUCUGGCUUGAGUGUGGGAGAGGUGAGUGGAAUUCCUGGUGUAGCGGUGAAAUGCGUAGAUAUCAGGAGGAACACCUGUGGCGAAAGCGGCUCACUGGACCACAACUGACGCUGAGGCGCGAAAGCGAGGGGAGCAAACAGG